AGUGAACGCUGGCGGUAGGCCUAACACAUGCAAGUCGAACGACAGCACAGUAAGAGCUUGCUCUUACGGGUGGCGAGUGACGGACGGGUGAGGCAUACAUCGGAAUCUACUUUUUCGUGGGGGAUAACGUAGGGAAACUUACGCUAAUACCGCAUACGACCUACGGGUGAAAGCAGGAGAUCUUCGGACCUUGCGCGAUUGAAUGAGCCGAUGUCGGAUUAGCUAGUUGGCGGGGUAAAGGCCCACCAAGGCGACGAUGCGUAGCUGGUCUGAGAGGAUGAUCAGCCACACUGGAACUGAGACACGGUCCAGACUCCUACGGGAGGCAGCAGUGGGGAAUAUUGGACAAUGGGCGAAAGCCUGAUGCAGCCAUACCGCGUGGGUGAAGAAGGUCUUCGGGUUGUAAAGCUCUGUUGUUGGGAAAGAAAAGCAGCAUGUGAAUACCCCGCUGUCCUGACGGUACCCAAAGAAAAAGCACCGGCUAACUUCGUG
rnacentral:rRNA from 1 species